rnacentral:rRNA from 1 species
UAAUACUAGCGGUCCAAGUCGCAGCCAUUUUUAUUGGGUCUAAAACAUCCGUAGCUUGCUUAAUAAGUUUCUUGUGAAAUCUUAUCUCUUAAAGAUAAGGCGCGCAGGAAAUACUGUUAAGCUAGAGACUGGAAGACGUGAGAAGUACGUUCAAAGUAGCGGUAAAAUGUUUUAAUCUUGGACGGACUCACAAUAGCGAAGGCAUCUCACGAGGACAGUUCUGACAGUAAGGGAUGAAAGCUAGGGGCGCAAAACGGAUUAGAUACCCGUGUAGUCCUAGCAGUAAACACUGCACACUAAACAUUAGUACCUCCUCGAGAGGUGUUAGUGCUGAAGGGAAGCCGAAGAGUGUGCUACCUGGGAAGUAUAGUCGCAAGGCCG